AGUGAACGCUGGCGGUAGGCCUAACACAUGCAAGUCGAACGGCAGCACAGUAAGAGCUUGCUCUUACGGGUGGCGAGUGGCGGACGGGUGAGGAAUACAUCGGAAUCUACUUUUUCGUGGGGGAUAACGUAGGGAAACUUACGCUAAUACCGCAUACGACCUACGGGUGAAAGCAGGGGAUCUUCGGACCUUGCGCGAUUGAAUGAGCCGAUGUCGGAUUAGCUAGUUGGCGGGGUAAAGGCCCACCAAGGCGACGAUCCGUAGCUGGUCUGAGAGGAUGAUCAGCCACACUGGAACUGAGACACGGUCCAGACUCCUACGGGAGGCAGCAGUGGGGAAUAUUGGACAAUGGGCGCAAGCCUGAUCCAGCCAUACCGCGUGGGUGAAGAAGGCCUUCGGGUUGUAAAGCCCUUUUGUUGGGAAAGAAAAGCAGCAGAUUAAUACCCCGCUGUUCUGACGGUACCCAAAGAAUAAGCACCGGCUAACUUCGCG
rnacentral:rRNA from 1 species